rnacentral:rRNA from 1 species
ACGUAGGAGGCGAGCGUUGUCCGGAAUCACUGGGCGUAAAGCGCGUGUAGGCGGAUGACUAAGUUUGCUGUGAAAGCGCCUGGCUUAACCGGGCGAGGUCGGCGAAAACUAGUCGUCUGGAGGCCGGUAGAGGGGGGUGGAAUUCCGGGUGUAGUGGUGAAAUGCGUAGAGAUCCGGAGGAACACCCGUGGCGCAGGCGGCCCCCUGGGCCGCGCCUGACGCUGAGACGCGAAAGCGCGGGGAGCGAACGGG